AUCCUGGCUCAGGAUGAACGCUAGCGGCAGGCUUAACACAUGCAAGUCGAGGGGCAUCGGGAGUAGCAAUACUGCCGGCGACCGGCGCAAGGGUGCGUAACGCGUGAGCAACAUGCCCGUAUCAGGGGGAUAAUCCAUGGAAACGUGGUCUAAUACCCCAUAGUAAUUAUGUAAGGCAUCUUAUAUAAUUUAAAGCUUUGGUGGAUACGGAUUGGCUCGCGUGACAUUAGCUAGAUGGUAAGGUAACGGCUUACCAUGGCUACGAUGUCUAGGGGUUCUGAGAGGAAGGUCCCCCACACUGGAACUGAGACACGGUCCAGACUCCUACGGGAGGCAGCAGUGAGGAAUAUUGGACAAUGGAUGGAAAUCUGAUCCAGCCAUGCCGCGUGCAAGGGAAGACGGCCCUAUGGGUUGUAAACUGCUUUUGUAUGGGAGCAAUAAGGGCUACGCGUAGUCCGAUGAGAGUACCAUACGAAUAAGCACCGGCUAACUCCGUGCCAGCAGCUGC
rnacentral:rRNA from 1 species